AGGCUCUGGGGUGUCACACGCGAGAUUGCAAAUCUCGAGAAGCAGGUUAAAACCUGCCGGGGCUUC
rnacentral:tRNA from 1 species